rnacentral:rRNA from 1 species
ACGAAGGGUGCAAGCGUUACUCGGAAUUACUGGGCGUAAAGCGUGCGUAGGUGGUUCGUUAAGUCUGAUGUGAAAGCCCUGGGCUCAACCUGGGAAUUGCAUUGGAUACUGGCGGGCUAGAGUGCGGUAGAGGGCAGUGGAAUUCCCGGUGUAGCAGUGAAAUGCGUAGAGAUCGGGAGGAACAUCUGUGGCGAAGGCGACUGCCUGGACCAGCACUGACACUGAGGCACGAAAGCGUGGGGAGCAAACAGGA